GCCACAAUCAUCGCAUUCUUCCGCUAGCUCGUAGUAGCAGAGCAAAAAUGGCGUAGAUCGGAGGGUGUUUGGAGAAGAGGACGACAGGACCUUCUUCUCUCCUCGUCGGCUCAUGCGGGGGGCGGGAGAGAAGGGGGUCCUCAGGGUUUUGGUUUAUUUUCUAUUAAGUGUGUCCUUGACGAUGGGACUCCUCUCAUCGAAAUAAGCCCGACAAUUCAGUAAUGUGCCACCGUAGAAGAAGAACCUCCGGCUUUUGUUUACCAUUGUGUGCAGCUGCAGCCCUCAGCACAGAGGGAAUAUUUCUGCAUCGUUUCGGACCAGCUCUCACCAAGGAGAAAAUAUCCUAUCAAUGAAACCAGCUGAAUCCUAGACUGAAAGUAUGUCUCCAUUCAGAGAUGACCCAGUAUAACCAACACAUUACCACCACUACCAAAGCCUCCAAAGGAGAGCUGUUGUCAAGAUGACCUCCUGGAUUUCUGCCACACACGUCCUCCUUCCUGAUGUUUCUGGGACGCUGGCUAUCUCUCCUCCGCAACAUCCUCUCUCGUCCUGGCCUGUUUCUGCAGCCUAAUGCUCACCGAGGACAGCUGCCAAGAUUCGGAAGCGUCUGACCUCAGAGUUGCACACUUUGGUUAUGCCCAUGUAACCUUAUGUAAUACAAGCUCUGCAGCCACAGAAUUGGCAAAAACCACAUAGUUUGGUUAAAUUUCAAACAAUGUCUUGGAAGGUGUAAUCUGUGUGAAGUUUUUGCAAUGUUAAAAAUGAUUACUUAUACUUACCGAACAAGAAAGGGAAAAAAAUAGAUCAAAAUAAUAAAAAAAUGUCUGCUCCCAAUUUCUGUGAAAGAAGUAAAGACACAAGGUACUGUAGCAAAGAUCAAGGCCUGUGAUGAAAUUAGAUUUUUUUUUUAUUUUAUUGUUUUUGUUAUUUUGUACUACCUCAUUGCCACAGCAAGUCCAACAUCACUGAAAAGGAGCUUGAUCAGGAUGAGUAGCUUAAUGGUUAUCAACCACCAUAGCAGUUUUAGUUUUGGGGAGGUGAUUGAUACAUAAGCAGAUUGUUUGAUUUCUGUCCAGCUGUUUUGAGAAAAAUAAUGUCUCACUCAAACUACACUCUUGAACGUCUUUUACAAAGGAUGACAAGAUGUUAUUUUUGUACCAUCACUUCACAUCAUCACAUUUCACAUAAUGUGAUUUCCUUUGCAAAGUCUGCAAGUAGAUUUAAAUUUUGCCACUUGUGGUAUUUGUCUGCACCCACAUUCAGUCCACCGUGAAACAAUUUAUUUUAGACACGUAAAAGCAGGACAUCCUAAGCACACUACACGUGGAUCUAAUUUGUCAUUUUUUAGUUUUAUUUUUGUGGCAUAAAUCGUGACAUAUAUAAAAAACACUUUACCGGGAUCUGUGCAAUAUUUGAUCUUAACUGUCAUGUUGUUGACCAAACUGUAUAUUGUAUAAACAAGUGACAAGUUGUUGAAAGCAACAAAAUCACCAAUGUCUUCCAUUAAGAUAUGUAUAGACUCAUGUGCAUUAGCUUAUUUAGCAGGACUGUGGUGCCAACAUUAUAGUAGCCAUGCAUGACCAGUAGUGAUGCUUGCUUCAUUGAAAAUAGUGAAAUCGAAUUCUAGGCCGAGCUGAAGCUCAAAACUAGUAAAACAGUUUCAGAAAACAAAUGAGUGAUGCACCUUUAAGAAUAACCAAAUUUAAACACAGCUUUGCCCUCAAAUUUAAUGCAUGAGGUCAUUGUAAGACAAUUUUUAAGAUGAGAAAUUAAAUGUCAGUAUGGCUGAAUCAGGGGAUUUAAUGAUAAGAGUAUUGACUUAAAUCCUUUUAACACACAAUUGAGAUAUGUAAUAGCUUUCUUAAAAAGCCAGAAGAUUUAGUCAAUGUGCAACAGCCAAAAAAUAAAUUCCCCAGAAAACGAGUCUCGGAUGAGAUGAAUUUUAGAGAAAAGGUUAUGCUCAGAGUAGAACUUUAAUCUUAGAUUUGGAUCAUAUUUGUAGGGAUUCAUAGUGAUGUAGUCCUAGAUUUAAGAUCUCACCAUAUUUCAUUGUACAUAGUUUUGGGAUUCAGAGUGUUCUAUUUUAAUCCAUAAAAUUGUAUUUGAUUAGUUUUAGAAGCAAUAACGAACAAUAAUGCAUGAGUUUAGUUCCAGGAUGUUGGUAUGUAAAAGAUUGUGUAACAUCACUUGGAAACCUCCCCUUCUGUUCAUUGUCUACACUCUUUUUAGCUUCUAUUUUUUUUUUUAUUAUUUUACGUGAGCCAUACAAUAUAUUUGGCUUCAAAGUAUUACAUUACAUUAUGAUGUGUUAUCAAAAACAACUGGUACUUGAGAGAUGGUUUAGAUUUAAAUUCUUGUAGCAUUUUUAAAUCCACAAAAACCCACCCCUUCCUUUAGAAAUGCAGACUUUUAAGUAACCAUGUGGCUGCAAAGGACUCCUGGAAGGAUGUUUGCUUAAAAAGCACUUUUCUCUCUGUAUUAACACACCAUCACCAUCGUCAUCAUCACCAUAAUGUCUUGAAUACUGUAUUCUAGAAACCAUAUAAUGCUGUUUCUGGGGAUUUAUAAUCAGUUUAUAAGCAAGUAGACGUCGAUGCGACGUGAAUAUAUGGGUUUAAAAAAAUAUGCAUGACUUAGCAAAGUGAUGAAUGAUUUGUAUUGCAUGCAAUAAUCCAACUUUGUAAUGUGAAUGAGUGUAAUUAGGGUACUGAGAUCUGAUGUUCAGUUAAAUGGGGGUAAUUUGACACUGCAGCAGGCUCACUGAUGUAGCUUCAACAGCGGGUUGUGGUUUUAUGGAUUAACAAGCCUGUUAUAUCAAAAAGUCUUGUGUCACAAAAAAAAGAGGAAAGAACAGAGAAGUUUCUGCUCUCAUAUUCUGUUGUGUCAAAUGUGAUCUGGCACAACAACCAUAGUGGAGCUGAGAAAUAGAUCAACCUUUGUUCCCAUGUUCAAAGAACGAAAAAAAAAACAAAAAAAACAGCGAAGGCAUAAGAUUAAUGACGUUACUUUGUUGAUUAACUUUUUCACCGAGGAGGUGGACUGUGUAGAAACUAUGCACUCCAGAAGGAGGAAAUGGGCAUGCUUAUUAUGUGUGAGCCUCUUGUCUGGUUUUGUAUUUACUUAAAAUAAUAGAAAAAAAAGUCUGUAUCAGAAAAUCAGCAAUAAAAUGCAGCAUGGUGCCAACUGGACUUCUGGGUGUUGUUUGCUUACAGUUGCAGCAGUGUUUGCUAGUACUGUAUUGAUGUUGUCAGGAAAAAUGUGGACAAACUGAAUUUCGAGCUUGUAGAAAUCAUUCAGCAAUGUGAUGAACACCUUUAGAUGCCUACUUAUUGUUAGGCAAGGGGGGGGCGGAUUUAUUUGUAUACAUAACAAUUUAAAAAGUGCCAGUUAAAGUUUGUCACAGUAAAACACAAAUAAAAUUUUAAUUUUUAAGUUACCUGUUGGUACCAGACAUCCUAAUUGUAUUAACAGAGAUAAAGCAGUACAAAUGUUGGAUCUAU